rnacentral:rRNA from 1 species
UACAGAGGUCCCAAGCGUUGUUCGGAUUCACUGGGCGUAAAGGGUGCGUAGGUGGUCGGGUAAGUCUGAUGUGAAAGCUCUGGGCUCAACCCAGAAAUGGCAUUGGAUACUAUCUGGCUAGAGGAAUGGAGGGGGGACUGGAAUGCUUGGUGUAGCAGUGAAAUGCGUAGAUAUCAAGUGGAACACCAGUGGCGAAGGCGAGUCCCUGGACAUUUCCUGACACUGAGGCACGAAAGCUAGGGGAGCAAACAGG